GAAGGAGACCCCCAGCUCUCUGUGAAGGAUGGGCUUGAGCUGGCAACGAGUCAGAACGUCCUUGUGAAGGCGGGAGAGAACUGGAGCGUUGAGGCUUCUCUGCCUUUGAAACCACCUUUGUGUGAGCAAGAACUGGAGCUGUCCUGCAAAGGGACAGCUGCCAGAUGGAAGUAAAACUGUCCUUCAAGAGGGUGGCAGUCCUCAACAGGACGGUCAUGGCCUCAUCCUGCCUGCAGCUGCGGAAAUGCCACCUAUUAGGCCUGCUCCCAGCCUGCAGCCGCUGUGCUUGAGGAAAGCUGCAUGCUGUCCCCUGUGCCUGCUGGCAGCUUCCUCAAGUGCCUGAAGGUGACUGGGAAAUUGUCUCUUCUGUUAGUGAGGCUUGUCCUGCUCUGGAGGAUGAUGGACUCCAUGGCAGGAAGCUGCUCUUUCGAAGCACAUCUCUUGAAAAUUAAAGAGAAGGGUUGGUCCUUAUGUAUGGUCUGUUCCUUGCCCUUCAAGAUCUAA
rnacentral:lncRNA from 1 species